rnacentral:ncRNA from 22 species
CGCUCAUCCAGAGGGGCAGAGGGAACGGCCCGUUGAAGCCCCGGCAACCCUCCAGCUGGUCUCGCGUCCUGUAGCGAGGCUCCCAGCUCGGGAAGGUGCCAAUUCCGUCUCGUGGCGAAAUGCGUCCCGAGGAAGAUGAGGA